UACAGAGGUCCCAAGCGUUGUUCGGAUUCACUGGGCGUAAAGGGUGCGUAGGUGGCUUGGUAAGUUCGAUGUGAAAUCUCCGGGCUUAACCCGGAAAUGGCAUUGAAUACUAUUGAGCUGGAGGUUUGGAGGGGGGACUGGAAUUCUCGGUGUAGCAGUGAAAUGCGUAGAUAUCGAGAGGAACACCAGUGGCGAAGGCGAGUCCCCUGGACAACACCUGACACUGAGGCACGAAAGCUAGGGGAGCAAACAGG
rnacentral:rRNA from 1 species